rnacentral:rRNA from 1 species
GGCAGCAGUAGGGAAUAUUGGGCAAUGGACGCAAGUCUGACCCAGCCAUGCCGCGUGCAGGAUGAAGGCCUUCUGGGUUGUAAACUGCUUUUAUCUAGGAAGAAAACACCCCUGCGGGGGGAACUGACGGUACUAGGUGAAUAAGCACCGGCUAACUCCGUGCCAGCAGCCGCGGUAAUACGGAGGGUGCGAGCGUUGUCCGGAUUUAUUGGGUUUAAAGGGUGCGUAGGCGGCCUUAUAAGUCAGUGGUGAAAGCCCACAGCUCAACUGUGGAACUGCCAUUGAUACUGUAAGGCUUGAGUACAGACGAGGUAGGCGGAAUUGAUGGUGUAGCGGUGAAAUGCAUAGAUACCAUCAAGAACACCGAUUGCGUAGGCAGCUUACUAGGCUGUAACUGACGCUGAGGCACGAAAGCGUGGGGAGCGAACAGGAUUAGAUACCCUGGUAGUCCACGCUGUAAACGAUGAUUACUCGAUGUUGGCGAUAAACUGUCAGCGUCUUAGCGAAAGCGUUAAGUAAUCCACCUGGGGAGUACGCCCGCAAGGGUGAAACUCAAAGGAAU